rnacentral:rRNA from 1 species
CCUACGGGUGGCAGCAGUGAGGAAUAUUGGUCAAUGGACGAGAGUCUGAACCAGCCAAGUAGCGUGAAGGAUGACUGCCCUACGGGUUGUAAACCUCUUUUAUCAAGGAACAAAACGAGUCACGUGUGCCUUAUUGCAUGUACUUUAUGAAUAAGGAUCGGCUAAUUCCGUGCCAGCAGCCACGGUAAUACGGAGGUUGCGAGCGUUAUCCGGAUUUAUUGGGUUUAAAGGGAGCGUAGAUGGGUUGUUAAGUCAGUUGGGAAAGUUUGAGGCUCAAACGUAAAAUUGCAAUUGAUACUGGCAGGCUUGAGUACAGUUGAGGUAGGCGGAAUUCGUGGUGUAGCGGUGAAAUGCUUAGAUAUCACGAAGAACCCCGAUUGCGAAGGCAGCUUACUAAACUGUGACUGACAUUGAUGCUCGAAAGUGUGGGUAUCAAACAGGAUUAGAUACCCGUGUAGUC